AGGAGGUCGGCUCCCCUGAAAAGUAUUAGUGGUAUCUGAGCAGAAGAAACUACUAUAGGUGUGAUAACUAUCUAUGCCUUCAGUAUGCUGCAUAAAAACGGAUUGCACUGCUUCUAACUAGUGAAAACCUCUCUCUACAAGGAGGGGCCACAUUUGACGAAUUUGACCUCAAAUCAGGUAGGACUACCCGCUGAACUUAA
rnacentral:misc_RNA from 1 species